UACGGAGGGUGCAAGCGUUAUCCGGAUUCACUGGGUUUAAAGGGUGCGUAGGUGGAGUGGUAAGUCAGUGGUGAAAUCUCCAAGCUUAACUUGGAAACUGCCGUUGAUACUAUCAUUCUUGAAUAUCGUGGAGGUAAGCGGAAUAUGUCAUGUAGCGGUGAAAUGCUUAGAUAUGACAUAGAACACCGAUUGCGAAGGCAGCUUGCUACACGAUCAUUGACACUGAGGCACGAAAGCGUGGGGAGCAAGCAGG
rnacentral:rRNA from 1 species